rnacentral:rRNA from 1 species
UACGUGGGUCACAAGCGCUAUCCGGUUUUACUGGGCGUAAAGAGAUGCGUAGGCGUUUCUUUAAGUUACUUGUUAAAUCUUAGUGCUUAACACUAAGACAGCAAGUAAUACUAAAGAAAUAGAGUCAGGUAGAGAAAAGAGGAAUUCCUGGUGUAGCAGUUAAAUGCGUUGAUAUCAGGAGGAACACCGAUGGUGAAGACAUCUUUUUGGACCUGUACUGACGCUCAGGCUCGAAAGCGUGGGGAGCAAACAGG